GUGCUCGCUUUGGCAGCACAUGUACUAAAAUUGGAACAAUACAGAGAAGAUUAGCAUGAUGCCCCCUGAGCAAAGAUGAUAUGCAGACUCAUGAAGCAUUCCAUGUUUUU
ensembl:snRNA U6 U6 spliceosomal RNA